rnacentral:rRNA from 1 species
UACAGAGGUCCCAAGCGUUGUUCGGAUUCACUGGGCGUAAAGGGUUCGUAGGUGGUUAGGCAAGUCCGAUGUGAAAUCUCCAGGCUCAACCUGGAAAUGGCAUUGGAUACUAUCUAGCUUGAGGAGUGGAGGGGGGACUGGAAUUCUCGGUGUAGCAGUGAAAUGCGUAGAUAUCGAGAGGAACACCAGUGGCGAAGGCGAGUCCCUGGACACGUCCUGACACUGAGGCACGAAAGCUAGGGGAGCAAACAGG